AAACACUUAUUCACAACACAGGCAAAAAGUAGACCAAGCGUGGAAAUGGGGUUUAUAGCAUACGUUGUGGUGACAGCUGUUGGAUCUGUUGUACUAUUUAUUCCUUUGACUGCUCCCUUUCUCCUGCCAUGGUUGGGCUUCUCCAACGAGGGUGUUGUGCCUGGCAGUCUGGCUGAGAGGGCUGUAGCAUGGCAUGGCGGCAAAAUCCCUCCUGGAUCCAUUAUCGCCCAUCUACAUGCGAUGGCCACGAAUCCACCACAUGUUACGAUGUGCGAACUAUAUUUUAAAUUGAAACUUAGGCCUAUAAUAGCAUGAUGGUCAUUGGCCACACGGAAUUUCCAUACUGCACUUUAAAAAUUACGUGAAGACUAUAGUUUAUGUGACCAGACUAAGAAGAUUAUAUAGAGAUAGUGUAUCUCAAAAAGUUAAUUUGAUUGUCAAAAAUGGUUGUGUUUUUUCCAUAAAAAUUUUGGAUAAUGUUAAGGUUAAUACAUACAUUUAUGAUGCCUUGAUCAAAAAAUACAAAAUUAUCA